CCUACGGGUGGCAGCAGUGGGGAAUAUUGGACAAUGGAGGCAAGUCUGACCCAGCAACGCCGCGUGAAGGAUGAAGGGCUUCGGCUUGUAAAGUUCUAUGAUGAGGGAUGAACACAAUGACGGUACCCCAAUAACAAGCCCCGGCUAACUACGUGCCAGCAGCCGCGGUAAUACGUAGGUGGCAAGCGUUAUCCGGAAUUACUGGGCGUAAAGGGUGCGUAGGGGGUUUGGUAAGUUGGCGGUGUAAUCCCUGGGCUCAACCCCGGCGUUGCCGCUAAAACUAUUAGACUAGAGUGCAGGGGGGGUAAGCGGAAUUCCUAGUGUAGCGGUGGAAUGCGUAGAUAUUAGGAGGAACAUCAGGGGCGAAGGCGACUUACUGGACUGUAACUGACACUGAGGCACGAAAGCGUGGGGAGCAAACAGGAUUAGAUACCCUUGUAGUC
rnacentral:rRNA from 1 species